rnacentral:lncRNA from 1 species
CUCUCAAACUUUCUUCACACGUAUCUUCGCCAUCCGGACUCUGUUUGGAUUGUUUUUGAGUUCAUUGGAUUUUGUUUGUCAUCUUGGAUCUUGUUCUAGGCUUAUUAUAAUUUGAAUCUAGAGGUAUUUACCUCAAUAAUCUUUAUUUUGACUCGAUGUUUGGCCUCCACCUGUCUCUAAGAGCCUGUGAUCCAUCUCG